rnacentral:rRNA from 1 species
ACGGAGAAAUUGGUUUCGGCUGAUGGAUUUGUAUAACUUAGUGGCGGACGGGUGAGGAACACGUAGGUAACCAAUCCUGAAGCGGGGGACAACUGCGGGAAACCGGAGCUAAUACCGCAUAAGACCACAGGCUGAGAGGCUGGUGGUAAAAGGAGCAAUUCACUUCAGGCUGGGCCUGCGGCCUAUCAGGUAGUUGGUGGGGUAAGAGCCUACCAAGCCAGAGACGGGUAGCCGGACUGAGAGGUUGAACGGCCACACUGGAACUGAGACACGGUCCAGACUCCUACGGGAGGCAGCAGUGGGGAAUUUUGCGCAAUGGGGGAAACCCUGACGCAGCGACGCCGCGUGGAGGAUGAAGGUUUUCGGAUUGUAAACUCCUUUUGUAGGGGAAAAUAGUGAUGGUACCCUACGAAUAAGCCACGGCUAACUCUGUGCCAGCAGCCGCGGUAAGACAGAGGUGGCAAGCGUUGUUCGGAAUUACUGGGCUUAAAGGGCGCGUAGGUGUCCUGGCAAGUCAGAUGUGGAAGCUUCUUGCUUAACGGGAAAAUGGCAUUUGAAACUGCCGGGAUUGAGUCAGACA